GCAGUGUCGCUGGAUGAUGUGUUUGCUGCAGAUGCCAUUUGAAAAUAUAGGCAGUGUAAGCACUGUAGAAUCUAAUUAUUUCUUUGCAAAACCUAAUUAGGCAUUAAAAAAGGUUAACGCCAGCGCCUGAAACGUUUUUGUUUAAUAAUCCCAUUACUGCCGGCUCAUCAUGUAUAAAAUGGUGCAGGAGGACACAAAGUUUCCACUUGUUAAAGGGAAUCUCUGAGAAAUAGUCGCAGGUUUUUGACACUAUCUCCGAUUGGGGAAAUUAGGGGUUGUAAUUAAACAGCGGAGACUCAGCUCAGCGCAGCGCACAGACUAUAGCUUCCUGGAAGGCUGUGAUUGGCCGGCUGUCUGGGUGUGAUAGCAGCCCUGGAGCCGAGAAUGAUUGAUGACGGCGGGGGCAAGGCCGAGCGCUGGGAGCAUAAAGCUCCAUAGACGCCUCAAUAAAGAGCCUGGCCAGUGGAGAGCCUGGGCCCCUCCGCCUCUGAGGACCCACGGCUAGAGGAGUGCAUGAAGGGAGGCAGAGGAAGAGAGGGAAAAGGAAAGGUGCUCUGUUGUCGGAUAAUCUGUUUAGCUGUCGAGCAGCAGCCGUCUGAGGCUGGAUAAGUGCAGCGACGGAUGUGUGUGGGGUGAAAAUAGCAGGGGUUGGCUGGUGGAGAGCUGGAGGGGGAGAAAGAGGCAGAGACGGGGGUGGGGGCGAUGCAUAAUGGGAAAAAUAAGGGAAGAAGAUGAAGCAGAUUGGAAAUGGGAGAUGCAAGCUGGCUGUUUACGCAUGCUA